CUGUCAUGGGAGAAUUUGUCAACACCAAAAGUUCAAGGGGGCAUGGGGUUGAGAGAGUUUGAAAAGUUUAAUCUGGCGCUCCUCGGGAAGCACGGCUGGCGACUCAUGACUCACCCCAACUCCCUUUGCUCUCGAGUCCUCAAAGGGAAAUAUUUCCCGGACUGUGAUUUUAUGCAGGCCAAUGCUCCAUCCACCUCGUCAGCAACCUGGAAAGCAAUCAUUGCGGGGAGAAAUGCGUUGCAAAUGGGACUGAUCAAACGAGUUGGCAAUGGAGUUUCAAUCUCCAUAUGGAAUGAUUCUUGGAUCCCCACCACUUCCACCCUCAAACCCAUGGGGAGGAUAGGGAGAAUGACCCGCUUGAGUGGGUCUCUGAACUAA
rnacentral:rRNA from 1 species